rnacentral:miRNA from 1 species
GGUCUCACUAUGUAGCCUAGGCUGUUCUUGCACUCACUGUGUAGCCCAGGCUGGCCUCGAACUCAACACCAAUCCUCCUGCCUCAGCCUCCUGAGUGCUGGGAUUAUGGGAAUGUGCCACCAUCCCUG